CCUUCUCAGUGACUGCUCCCACCCUCUGAAACUCCCUUCCACAGGAGGCUAGAUUGCUUUCCUUUUCCUGGCAGCAAAGAUGUUUUUUAUUCAAGCAGGCUUUUAAUAUGUAAUUAUUGUCAAAGAGGCUUUUAUAUGAGACAAAUACGGUCCUGAGGUAAAUCACACCAUUAUUUCCAUAGAGGCUCAAUAAAAAGGGGGAAAUGAGCAUUCCUUCUCAGAACACUUGCUGGGAUCCAAGACAUUAAAAGAAAACAACUGCCAACAAAUACAAGAGCCAAUGAUAGUCAUCAUAUCACUAAUAAUCACCAGGACAUACCAUCCAUUUAUGAAUUCUAGGCGAUCUGCGCUGCAUACAUGGCGUUUAUAUUUCUCCAAGAAGAAAUUCACAAAUCUCUGUUUUAAGCAUCAGAAUGAAGAGAAUGAUUAGGAACCUUCUCUGGUUCAUUGCUACACAGGACUAAAGUCAGCAUCAGAUGGGCAUCUCUGGUACUGCACUGGAGUGUGCAUAUACCACACAUAAGCAAACAGAGGAUUGCAAUUAAAGAUGGGAAAGAAUUUGGCCUGAAAUUGACUUUUUAAACAAUGCCUCUAAAAUUUUUGGUCAGCGAUACUAUUAAGGAAACUACAUACUAUCUUUAGCCUGUUAUCAAGAGAAGAGUCAGUGUUGUUGCUUUUUCAAAUUGCAUAUAGGUAGAUAUAUACAACUAAAAUGUGUUCAAUUCAUUAAAAAACUGUUUCACAAACAGCACUUUAGUUGAUGAGGGAAACUGUGUUAAAAUGUGUGUUGGGGGAGGAAAUCUGUACUAGAGGCUGACAUCCAACAUAAGGCCAGUAAAGUGUGUGACUGGAGGGAUUGUUUUUCCUCAGUUGUUCAAGCAGUGGUGAGCAUAUUCUCAUAGUUACUAGGCAUGCAACAGUUUGUUCA